rnacentral:rRNA from 1 species
GAUGAACGCUGGCGGCGUGCUUAACACAUGCAAGUCGAACGGUGAGGGCGGAGCUUGCUCUGCUGGAUCAGUGGCGAACGGGUGAGUAACACGUGAGCAAUCUGCCCCUGACUCUGGGAUAAGCGCUGGAAACGGCGUCUAAUACUGGAUACGAGCUGCGAAGGCAUCUUCAGCAGCUGGAAGGAAUUUCGGUCAGGGAUGAGCUCGCGGCCUAUCAGCUUGUUGGUGAGGUAAUGGCUCACCAAGGCGUCGACCGGUAGCCGGCCUGAGAGGGUGACCGGCCACACUGGGACUGAGACACGGCCCAGACUCCUACGGGAGGCAGCAGUGGGGAAUAUUGCACAAUGGGCGAAAGCCUGAUGCAGCAACGCCGCGUGAGGGACGACGGCCUUCGGGUUGUAAACCUCUUUUAGCAGGGAAGAAGCGAAAGUGACGGUACCUGCAGAAAAAGCGCCGGCUAACUACGUG